AAACCAACAGGGAUUGCCCCAGUAACGGCGAGUGAGCGGCAGAGCUCAAAUUUGAAAUCUGGCCUCCCCCGGGGGUCCGAGUUGUAAUUUGCAGAGGAUGCUUCGGGCGCGGCCCCCGUCUAAGUUCCUUGGAACAGGACGUCAGAGAGGGUGAGAAUCCCGUCUUGGGCGGGCGGCCCGCGCCCGUGUGAAGCUCCUUCGACGAGUCGAGUUGUUUGGGAAUGCAGCUCUGAGCGGGUGGUAAAUUUCAUCUAAAGCUAAAUACCGGCCGGAGACCGAUAGCGCACAAGUAGAGUGAUCGAAAGGUUAAAAGCACCUUGAAAAGGGAGUUAAACAGCACGUGAAAUUGUUGAAAGGGAAGCGCUUGCGGCCAGACUCGGGGGGCGGGGUUCAGCGGGCGCUCGUCGCCCGUGCACUGCCCGCUCCCCGGGCCAGCAUCAGCUUCGACGGCCGGUCAAAGGCCCCCGGAAUGUGUCGUCUCUAGGGACGUCUUAUAGCCGGGGGUGCAAUGCGGCCCGUCGAGACUGAGGAACGCGCUCCGGCUCGGAUGCUGGCGUAAUGG
rnacentral:rRNA from 1 species